UCGAGCUUUGCUUGCCGGGGCUGCGUACCGCCAUAUCUGGCGCGCAUCCCCGUCGAGCAACGCUCGACG
rfam:Oryza glaberrima chromosome 1 Oglab01_0003_22, whole genome shotgun sequence.